GACGAACCGUGCGAACGUUGUUCGGAUUCAUUGGGCUUAAAGGGCGCGUAGGCGGCCGCUCAAGUCGGGGGUGAAAUCUUUCAGCUCAACUGGAAAAUAGCCUCCGAUACUGGGCGGCUGGAGGGAGAUAGGGGUGCGCGGAACUUCCGGUGGAGCGGUGAAAUGCGUAGAUAUGCGGAGGAGCACCGAUGGCGAAGGCAAUCCCCUGGACCUGUACUGACGCUCAUGCACGAAAGCGUGGGGAGCAAACAGG
rnacentral:rRNA from 1 species